rnacentral:tRNA from 1 species
UGACACGAGGAUUUUCAGUCCUCUGCUCUACCAGCUG